rnacentral:rRNA from 1 species
UACGUAGGGGGCGAGCGUUGUCCGGAAUCAUUGGGCGUAAAGAGCGUGUAGGCGGCUUGGCAAGUCUGACGUGAAAGCCCGCGGCUCAACCGCGGAUUGGCGUUGGAAACUGCCUCGCUAGAGUCAGGAAGAGGAGAGCGGAAUUCCUGGUGUAGCGGUGGAAUGCGCAGAUAUCAGGAAGAACACCCGUGGCGAAGGCGGCUCUCUGGGACGGUACUGACGCUGAGACGCGAAAGCGUGGGGAGCGAACAGG